GCGAGAAACCUUUGCAAUGUGCGCAAGCACGACAAGGUUAAUCCGAGUGUUUCCUGCUAAAGGAAUCUUUUGUUAGUUCUAAAACCACUGAUGAAUAAGAGGUGGGCAAGUUCUGGUGUCAGCCGCCGCGGUAAAACCAGCACCUCAAGUGGUCAGGAGGAUUAUUGGGCCUAAAGCAUCCGUAGCCGGUUCUGUAAGUUUUCGGUUAAAUCCACUAGCUUAACUAAUGGGCUGCCGAAAAUACUCGCAGAACUAGGGGAGUGGGAGAGGUAGACGGUACUCGGUAGGAAGGGGUAAAAUCCUUUGAUCUAUUGAUGACCACCUGUGGCGAAGGCGGUCUACCAGAACACGUUCGACGGUGAGGGAUGAAAGCUGGGGGAGCAAACCGGAUUAGAUACCCGAGUAGUCCCUGAGCGGGCUGGCAAGGCGC
rnacentral:rRNA from 1 species